UACGAAGGGGGCUAGCGUUGCUCGGAAUCACUGGGCGUAAAGCGCACGUAGGCGGCUUUCUAAGUCAGGGGUGAAAUCCUGGAGCUCAACUCCAGAACCGCCUUUGAUACUGGAGAGCUUGAGUCCGGAAGAGGUGAGUGGAACUCCGAGUGUAGAGGUGAAAUUCGUAGAUAUUCGGAAGAACACCAGUGGCGAAGGCGGCUCACUGGUCCGGUACUGACGCUGAGGUGCGAAAGCGUGGGGAGCAAACAGG
rnacentral:rRNA from 1 species